rnacentral:rRNA from 1 species
GACGAACGCUGGCGGCGUGCCUAAUACAUGCAAGUCGAACGAAGCUUUUUUAACUGGUGCUUGCACCGACUUAAACAACUGAGUGGCGAACGGGUGAGUAACACGUGGGUAACCUGCCCCAAAGCGGGGGAUAACAUUUGGAAACAGAUGCUAAUACCGCAUAACCACAGAAACCACAUGGUUUCUGUGUCAAAGAUGGUUUCGGCUAUCACUUUGGGAUGGACCCGCGGCGUAUUAGCUAGUUGGUAAGGUAAUGGCUUACCAAGGCAAUGAUACGUAGCCGAACUGAGAGGUUGAUCGGCCACAUUGGGACUGAGAAACGGCCCAAACUCCUACGGGAGGCAGCAGUAGGGAAUCUUCCACAAUGGACGAAAGUCUGAUGGAGCAACGCCGCGUGAGUGAAGAAGGUUUUCGGAUCGUAAACUCUGUUGUCAGAGAAGAACGUGUGCGAGAGUAACUGUUCGUGCAGUGACGGUAUCUGGCCAGAAAGCCACGGCUAACUACGUGCCAGCCGCCGCGGUAA